rnacentral:tRNA from 1 species
GCAGUCGUGGCCGAGUGGUUAAGGUGAUGGUCUUGAAAACCAUUGGCUUCUUCCCGCGCAGUUUCAAACCCUGCCGACAGCG